AUGAACGCUAGCGGCAGGCCUAACACCUGCCAGUCGAGGGAGAAGCCCUUUCGGGGGCAGACACCGGCGCACGGGUGCGUAACGCGUAUGCAACCUACCUUUCACAGGGGGAUAGCCCGAAGAACUUUGGAUUAAUACCCCAUAAUAUUAUUGGAUGGCAUCAUUUGAUAAUUAAAACUGCGGUGGUGAAAGAUGGGCAUGCGUCCUAUUAGCUAGUUGGAGUGGUAACGGCACCCCAAGGCUACGAUAGGUAGGGGUCCUGAGAGGGAGAUCCCCCACACUGGUACUGAGACAGGGACCAGACUCCUACGGGAGGCAGCAGUGAUGAAUAUUGGUCAAUGGUCGGAAGACUGAACCAGCCAUGCCGCGUGCAGGAAGAAUGCCUUAUGGGUUGUAAACUGCUUUUAUAUGGGAAGAAUAAGGCGUACGUGUACGUUGAUGACGGUACCAUAUGAAUAAGCAUCGGCUAACUCCGUG
rnacentral:rRNA from 1 species